rnacentral:lncRNA from 1 species
GGGGUCCCAGGACAAGGGAAGAGAUGAGAAUCUUGACUCCAUGUUUCAGAAGGCUGAUUUAUUAUUUUAUGAUAUAUAUUAAAAGAAAAUGAUAUAUUAAAACUAUACUAAAAGAAUAGAAGAAAGGAUUUCAUCAGAAGGCCAGCAAGGAAAGAAAUGGAAUGGAAUGAUAAUAAAAUCUUGUGACUGACCAGAGAGUCCAAGACAGCUGGAGGGUGAUUGGCCAUUAAUUAAAAACAACCACAUGAGACCAAUCAAAGAUGCACCUGUUGCAUUCCACAGCAGCAGAUAAUCAUUGUUUACAGUUAAUUUCUGAGGCCUCUCAGCUUCUCAGGAGAAAAGAUCCUAGCAAAAGGAUUUUUCAUAAAAUAUGUCCAUGACAUAUUAGACCAUUAUGAGUUGAUAUCUCACCCUGCAGAGUUGCACAGUUGCUGCUCUAUAGUGAGUGUUUAGUUAGUUGUACCCAGACCACGUGGAACAGAGGAGUUGCAGGGGCUCUAAAGGCUCUCACUACCCACUCCUUGGGUAGUCCACAUGGUUCUGCUUCAGCAUGACUGCCAUGCCUGGGUUUACCUUCGUUGAUUGAGGCAGAAUUUGGAAUAAAAUGUAAAAUUUCAAGGAGUUGCUGAGGCCAAAGCAAUGUUUCCAGUGUAAGGCAUGGAUUUGUUUUGGUUAAGUAUUGAAAUCCUCUUUAUCCUAGAGGUAGUAAAAUUCUUUUUCUUUGCAUUAAUAACUUUUCUUUAUGUUUUUUUCAAAGCAGGGUAAAGAUGACUCCUGUUCCCUGCUGUUCAGAGGGAGCCUCCUGUGCUUCAGCGUGUGCCCACUGCUCCAGGGCUGUCACUGGGCGCCACGGGGAAGAGCCUGGCUCCAUCCUCCUCGCACUGUCUGUGCCUUCCCUUCUGUAUCGUCCUUCCAGGAGACAUCAGAGUGGUUGAAGUCCCCUAUGAAGACCAGGGCCCGAGACUCAAAACCUGAGUCUAGACACAGGAAGGAUGAGGAGGACCAGAGUUUUAUCACCAUCUUCUCAUUUUGCAUCACACUUCAGCAUCUUCACCCAUAA